AACGACUCUCGGCAACGGAUAUCUCGGCUCUCGCAUCGAUGAAGAACGUAGCGAAAUGUGAUACUUGGUGUGAAUUGCAGAAUCCCGUGAACCAUCGAGUCUUUGAACGCAAGUUGCGCCCCAAGCCUUCUGGCUGAGGGCACGUCUGCCUGGGUGUCAC
rnacentral:rRNA from 1 species